rnacentral:rRNA from 1 species
GAUGAGCUUGCGGCCCAUUAGCUAGUUGGUAAGGUAAUGGCUUACCAAGGCAACGAUGGGUAGCUGGUCUGAGAGGAUGAUCAGCCACACUGGCACUGAGACACGGGCCAGACUCCUACGGGAGGCAGCAGUGGGGAAUUUUGCGCAAUGGGCGAAAGCCUGACGCAGUAACGCCGCGUGGAGGAUGAAGGCCUUCGGGUUGUAAACUCCUGUCAGGAGGAACGACGGGGAAGGGGUGAUAAACCCUUUCCUCCAGACGGUACCUCCAAAGGAAGCCCCGGCUAAUUCCGUGCCAGCAGCCGCGGUAAUACGGAAGGGGCAAGCGUUGUUCGGAAUCAUUGGGCGUAAAGGGCGCGUAGGUGGUUCUGUAUGUCUACCGUGAAAGCGUACGGCUCAACCGUAUUUUGUCGGUGGAAACUGCAGGACUUGAGGCUGGGAGGGGCUGGUGGAAUUCCCUGUGUAGCGGUGAAAUGCGUAGAGAUGGGGGAG